rnacentral:hammerhead_ribozyme from 1 species
AUUCAGAUGACGAAUCCCAAAUAGGACGAAAUACGCAUCCUGGAU